UACAGAGGGGGCAAGCGUUGUUCGGAAUUACUGGGCGUAAAGGGCGCGUAGGCGGCCUGCUAAGUCGAACGUGAAAUCCCUGGGCUCAACCCAGGAACUGCGUCCGAUACUGGUUGGCUUGAAUCCGGGAGAGGGAUGUGGAAUUCCAGGUGUAGCGGUGAAAUGCGUAGAUAUCUGGAGGAACACCGGUGGCGAAGGCGGUUGAGCUGGGCAGUUGCUGACACUGAGGCGCGACAGCGUGGGGAGCAACAGG
rnacentral:rRNA from 1 species